GACGAUUUCAAUAAACUCGUUUCUAUCGUCUUCUAUUGGGGUCCAGCGAAAGUACAAAAUUUUUUGGUGAUUUCUCAGUUGGCAAUAUUUUCCAAUCUAUAUCCACACAUGGUUUUCACUCACAGUUUCCUUCUUUCAGCUUCACAAACUUAACAGGACCCAUCAAGGUAAGCCUCUGCCUCUUUCUCACUUCUUCUCUAUAAGGCAGAGAUAUGUACAAUUCUUACAUUAGCUCAGCUGUGUUGACACUUAGAACUAAAGGGUCUCUUUCGUUUUCCUUCAAUGACUACUCUAACUUAUUGAGUGAAAGAUUUGACAAGAACCCGUUACCAUCAUCACUAUCGCAAUGUUGUUCACGCUGUAGUUGUUGUUCUUGUUGUGCAUCAUCAUUUGCCGCGUAUAGGGUGCCAAUAAGCCCUAGCUUAUUUUAUGGGUUGAGGCAAUCCACUCUUAUUCAAUGGUCGCCUUGUAGAAGGUUGAUCUUGGGUGGCAGGAACCGGUACUAUUACCGAGUCCCUGCUUAUGGACUUGAUGAUGAUUGUUAUGAGGUUUCUUGCUCUUUUAAGAAGAAAAGUGGCGGGGAAAGAAUUGAGAGGAGAAGGAAGGGAAGGGUUGGGCACAUAAAUUUGCGUGAAAGGCGGCGUUUGAGUAGUGUUGAUGAUGCUGAGGCUGUGAUCAGCUUGUUGAGUGAGGAGGUGACUGAGUGUUUAGGUGAGAGACUUCAAAAAGGGAGUUAUUCAAAGAGAGUGGAACUGGAAAAGAGAAGUAAUCAUGGUGGUGAAUUUCAGCCGCAGAGGAGAAAGAAUGGUAGGUUGGGUUUAUUGGAGAGCGAUUCCAAGAGCCAGUUUGAGUUGGAUACCGAUGAGUUGAGGAGGGAAGGGUAUAGAAAGGAGGAGAGUGAAGAGUGUAGAAGGAAGAGAGAUACAGAGGAGUUUAGAAAGAAGGAAGACAGGGAAGAUUUUAGAAGGAAAGAAGAAAGGGAGGGGAAGGAAGAAAGGAAAAUUGUUCCAAGAGUUAAGAAUCGCAGGGAAAGGAAAGCUAAUUCUAGCUUUUCAUCUUAUUACUCGCUUUCUUCCACUGGAGGUAGUGAGAGUGAUAAGGAAACUCAAAAUGAGCAUGUUGGUUCUCUGGAAGAAUCAUCAAGUACAUAUAAGAAAGAACUAUGGAGUGAAGAGAAUACAUUUGAGGGGCAAGUGGUGGAAGAGUUUAAAAGGCAUGGAGAAGAUGGGGGCCAAGGAAAAGUUUUGGAGCAGGGAACUGGUACGAGAAGUGCUGGUGCUGUCUGGGAUUUGAGAAAGAAAUCUGAGAAGCAACUUACUGAGAUUGAUGAAAUGCAGUCCAGAGAGGAAUCCUCGCAAUUGUACUCAAGAAUGGCAAGGACCAGUGCAAGUGAUCAUGAGAAGGUGUCAAAUUCUCAUAAACAAAUUGAUAAUGAGAAUGAGAAAUUAACUUUGGCAGUCAAUUUGGAGAAAGGAACAAGAAAGCAAUAUAAUCAGACAGGUGACUUGGUCACAGAACAGCCUCAAUUCAGAAGAAAAUACCAGGAAAUUACUCAUAUGGAGGAUAUCCAAGGAAAAAAUGGAAAAUCAACCUCCCAAUACCAAAGGCAGUUCAAUGUUAGAGAAGAAAACCUGACAGCAGAUGCAGAUUUGGUUGGGGAAAGAAUGGGCGAAAAUUGCAGUACAGUUGGUCAAAGUGCUGGAAACAGUAACAUAAGAAGAAAUAACACUGCUAUGUCAGAAAUUGGAAAUGUUGAUACCGAAAGAGUUUCUAAUUUGCAGAGGCAAUAUGAGUCUAGAAUGAAGAUCCACGAAGAAGAUAGCGCUUUGAGGUCGGUAUGGGAGACAAAUGAGAAAUGCCAGCAAACAUUUGAACAGAUAACUGGACAAACUGAGUCAAGAAGAGAUUCACAAUGGCUGUCUGAAAGAUCAGAAAUUCAAGAUAGUACUAGAAAGAUGUCUUUGCAAUCGGAAACUGGAAUGAGGAACCAGGAAGUAAGUAUGGAUGUUGUUUAUCAUUUGGCUGAAGAAGCAAAAGAGCAAAGGUCCCCCACUAAAGGAAAAGCUAUAGGGAGAAUUCAAUCCAGAAAAGAAUCCCAAGAUGUCACUAAUAUAUCUGUGAAUGUCACUAAUGUAUCAUUAGUUCAUGCUAGUGAUAUAGAAAGAGUUAAUGAUUCUCAGAUAACUUCAAAAAACAGAAUAAUUGAUCAAGGAAGUGAAUUUACAUCAGUUUUGAAACCCACUCAGCAAACCAGAGAAAGAGAUGAUCAAACCGAUGAAAGAAUCAGUCAAAUCAAAUCAAGAAACAAAGCCCACAUGACCUCUGAAAUAUCAAGUUUUCAAGAAAAAACUUCACAAGAGGCCUCUAGUUCUCAAGCAUUCCGUAAUAUGGUUUCCCAAGCAAGAAUGCAACAGAUUGAUGUGGAGGGGGACUACAGAAGUUCUCAGGCAAUAAUGAUGCCCCCUUCUCCUCAGGUGGUAGCUCGAGGUUCAUUGUGUGUUGAUCCAACUAGUGGAAUAGCAACCCAAGAAGCUCUCACAGAAACUUCUGAAAGCAGCUUGAGUGCUUUUAAUAACAAUUCAGGAGAGAGAACUCCAACUUCACAGCAGGAGCUAUAUGACAGAGAUAGGAAGGGUGAGAUUUAUGGGGAGCCUUCAAAACUUUUAGCCCCAGAAGAUGCUUUGGGUGCAGCUCAUCGUCAAGAGGAGUCAUCCAUGCAGUUUGUUGGGGAAUUCGUGCAGAGAGCAAGGCAUGAAGUGUUGACCUCUGAAAUCACAAAGCAGAAAGUUUCCAACCAAAAUUUAAUGUAUGAAGGUGAGAAGGACAAAAGAAAGAGUUCAGUUCAAAAUGUUUCAGAAGAAUUACUGUUGAAAGAAAAGGACUCAAGGCGAUCAUCUGUUGGUUCUGGAGUAAAGGGCCCUUCUGAUGAAAUGUGGGAUGUGGCAGACCCAUCUUUUCAGGAACCUUCAGAGACAGAAGCCCCAGAGGGCAGCACAGCAACUAAGAAUACUGUUGUUAAGAGGACUGGACGGUCCUUGUGGGGUAUUAUAGCAGAUAUAGUUCGACUGCGCUGGGGUUCACGUGCUGAAACCCCCAAGUCAACUAGAAGAUCAGGUGGAAAGGGUUCUUCAAAUGAUUCGGUUAAUAGUGAGGCAUGGUUUUCUGGUCAUGACCCCGAAGAAAACAGUGAUAAAACUGUGGAAAGGGAAAGAAGCAGCAUGGCGAAAGAAGUUUCCUCUUCUCGUCACCUGCAACUAAUGGAAACUUCUAGUCGAGGCCAGGGAAAAGAGUCUGACAUGAUUGGAUCAAAGAACAAAAUAAGACAACUUGAAGGAGAUACAUCAUCUUCUCCAACUAUAUUAAAAAGUGGGUCCACAACAAAAGGUAUUUCCUCUCCUGAAGAGGAAAACCUUGUUUGGAGACAAGAUGGAAAGAGUUCUCAAGGAACAAGGAGCCAAGAUGGAAAGAAUUCUCAAGUUUUCCCUCCUAGCACAGAAGUUGGGGAAGCAUCAUUUGUACCAUUGCCUUCCAGUGGCAUGAAUACUCUAAUUGUAGAAGAAAGUUAUGGUAGGGCUACAACUGACGCGACUAUUAGUGGCUCAACGGAUCUAAUGGAGCAACCUGCUAGUGCAAAGUUAACUGAAGUGUCAAGCCUUGAUGGGAAUGAUGGAGUGUUGAAACAAAGGAGACUUCAGCGGAACAAGCAAGUCUUAAGGGACAGAUUUGAUGAAUGGGAAGAAGCAUAUAUACGUGAAAGUGAGCAGCGAAAAGUUGAUGAAAUGUUUAUGAGAGAAGCACUGCUAGAAGCCAAGAAGGCUGCUGAUACUUGGGAGGUACCUGUUGGGGCUGUUCUGGUGCAAAAUGGGAAAAUUAUUGCUCGUGGCUAUAAUUUAGUGGAGGAGUUACGGGACUCCACUGCCCAUGCAGAAAUGAUUUGUAUACGAGAGGCUUCAAACCAUCUCCGGAGCUGGAGGCUUGCGGAGGCUACACUUUAUGUAACACUUGAACCAUGCCCUAUGUGUGCUGGAGCAAUACUUCAAGCAAGAAUAGACACGCUUGUGUGGGGAGCUCCCAAUAAGCUUCUUGGAGCCGAUGGAAGCUGGAUCAGACUUUUUCCUGGAGGAGAAAAUGGCUCAGAACGGACAGAUAAGCCAGCUCCUCCAGUCCAUCCUUUCCAUCCAAAAGUGACAAUCCGGCGAGGGAUAAUGGCAUCAGAGUGUGCGGAUGUGAUGCAGCAAUUCUUCCAGCUUAGGAGAAAGAAAAAGGUGAAGAGUGAAGAUUUGCCUCCCCAGCCAUCUCUUCCUAUUGCGAGUCAUCAAUCAAAAAUCCUUAGUAAGAUGCAUGAUAUUUUCCAUGCAUUCUUGUGUUUGUAAGGGAUAGUGGAACCAUCAAUUUCUCUUGAAGUUUACAUGUCUCCGUGAUUGACCAUGUUAUAUUGGAAGUAUUUAAUGAAAUUACGGUUUCCUUGAUAAUCUCAUUAAUUCCUGUUGUGGCAGUUGCAAUAAACCUGUGCUUAUUAGUGCAGUAAACCAUUGUGAUCUUUUU
rnacentral:misc_RNA from 1 species